rnacentral:sRNA from 1 species
UUUUAGCCCCGAUAGCAGUGUAAAUCCUCUCUCGUUUUUCAACGAGAGAGAUUGAAACGGAUAGCGGGACUUUGC